UUCUUCAUCUCUUAGGCUUGCACACAUUGCGUGCAAACACCCCAAAGCACUUUCAAACUGAUUUUACCAUUUUUCCUACUUCCUUCUCCUCAAAUUUGCACCUCUCCAUAAAAGAAUUUCUUUUGAUGUCGAGCCAGAUCGUGAAUCAAGAUUGGAGAAACGUAGUAACUCAACAAAAUCAACAGUUUUUUCCAUCUAUAACAUUUGAAGAAUCCGAAGAAAAAAACAAAUGGUCAUUUUCCAUGAAACUUCCAGGUUUUUCAAAGGACCGACUGCGAAUCAACUUGAAUACAAGAACAAGAAUUAUUGUAGUUACAGGACAAAAAUCAGAUGGCUUGUUCAAUAUUACUCGUUUGAAUGAACGGGUAACAAUCAAAGAGGAUUGCUUGUUAGAGGGAGUACAAGCAAAGUUGUCCAAUGACACUCUUAUUGUCACAUUUGAGAAGGAAAAGAAAUAAAUUUUUAUUUUCAUACAAAUCAUGAAUUACUCCAUAUACGAAUAAAGAUCAACUUCUAUGUUCCCAGUAGAGUUGGUCGUGUGUAUAGAAACUUAUAUCCAUAUUUGUAAUUCAAAUUAUGUAUGAAUGUUAGUGUAUACAUCGUAACCACUCUCCAACAUUUACCUACUCAUAUGGUCGUUGUAGAAGAAAUUUCAAUGUCUUGUUUAUUUGGUGGAAUAUUUAUGUAUGAAUUAAAGUAUUAAAUUAGAGUAGCUCUUCUUUCA